rnacentral:rRNA from 1 species
AUACGUAGGGGGCGAGCGUUGUCCGGAAUGAUUGGGCGUAAAGGGCGCGUAGGCGGCCCGGUAAGUCUGGAGUGAAAGUCCUGUUUUUAAGAUGGGAAUUGCUUUGGAUACUGUCGGGCUUGAGUGCAGGAGAGGUAAGUGGAAUUCCCAGUGUAGCGGUGAAAUGCGUAGAGAUUGGGAGGAACACCAGUGGCGAAGGCGACUUUCUUGACUGUAACUGACGCUGAGGCGCGAAAGUGUGGGGAGCAAACAGGAUUAGAUACCCGGGUAGUCCACACUGUAAACGAUGAAUGCUAGGUGUAGGGGGUAUCGACCCCUUCUGUGCCGCAGUCAACACAAUAAGCAUUCCGCCUGGGGAGUACGGCCGCAAGGUUGAAACUCAAAGGAAUUGACGGGG